rnacentral:sRNA from 1 species
CCUUAGCCCCGAUUGCAGAGGAAAUCUCCCGAUUUUUAGAAAAAUAGAUUGUUAAAUCUAAUUUUUCUUGAUCGGGAAUUGAAACGAAAAGCGGGAAAGAGC